rnacentral:rRNA from 1 species
UACGUAGGGGGCAAGCGUUGUCCGGAUUUAUUGGGCGUAAAGAGCGUGUAGGCGGCUAGAUAGGUCCGUUGUGAAAACUCGAGGCUCAACCUCGAGACGUCGAUGGAAACCAUCUGGCUAGAGUCCGGAAGAGGAGAGUGGAAUUCCUGGUGUAGCGGUGAAAUGCGCAGAUAUCAGGAAGAACACCCGUGGCGAAGGCGGCUCUCUGGGACGGUACUGACGCUGAGACGCGAAAGCGUGGGGAGCAAACAGG